CAGCCGCCACGGGAAUACGUAGGGUGCAAGCGUUAAUCGGAUUUACUGGGCGUAAAGCGUGCGCAGGCGGUUCGCUAAGACAGAUGUGAAAUCCCCGGGCUUAACCUGGGAACUGCAUUUGUGACUGGCGGGCUAGAGUAUGGCAGAGGGGGGUAGAAUUCCACGUGUAGCAGUGAAAUGCGUAGAGAUGUGGAGGAAUACCGAUGGCGAAGGCAGCCCCCUGGGCCAAUACUGACGCUCAUGCACGAAAGCGUGGGGAGCAAACAGGAUUAGAGACCCGCGUAGUCCCUGUCUCUUAUAC
rnacentral:rRNA from 1 species